rnacentral:rRNA from 1 species
CUUAACACAUGCAAGUCGAACGAUGAUCCGGUGCUUGCACCGGGGAUUAGUGGCGAACGGGUGAGUAACACGUGAGUAACCUGCCCUUGACUCUGGGAUAAGCCUGGGAAACUGGGUCUAAUACCGGAUAUGACUCCUCAUCGCAUGGUGGGGGGUGGAAAGCUUUUGUGGUUUUGGAUGGACUCGCGGCCUAUCAGCUUGUUGGUGAGGUAAUGGCUCACCAAGGCGACGACGGGUAGCCGGCCUGAGAGGGUGACCGGCCACACUGGGACUGAGACACGGCCCAGACUCCUACGGGAGGCAGCAGUGGGGAAUAUUGCACAAUGGGCGAAAGCCUGAUGCAGCGACGCCGCGUGAGGGAUGACGGCCUUCGGGUUGUAAACCUCUUUCAGUAGGGAAGAAGCGAAAGUGACGGUACCUGCAGAAGAAGCGCCGGCUA